ACAGCGCAAUAUAUAGCGCGUUGGACUUCUGAUUCAAAGGUAGUGGGUUCGAUUCCCACCUGAGCUG